UGGUAGAUGGUUCAAGUAGAGGAGCUUUACUCUCUAAUUGCAUAUAUAUCAUUGUCUUAGUGUACAAAUUUGGAUGGUGAUAGCAUCCACAUAGAUAAAUACGGAGGAAUCUCCCACCAAGGCAUAAACGAUUGGUAAGGUGUUCGGAGCCUAAAAUCCUCCCUAUUGCCUUUCUAACUGUCUUGAUAGCUUUAAAAAUUAUAACUAAUGCUCUUUCUCAGCCUUUAGUUAGCCGGCAUUACUAUUUAUAAGAAGUUAUGCCAGUGCUCCUAAAGUUUUCAUUAUAAAAAAGUGGGAUUCAUAAUAGAUACGGUAUGAGCAAGAGACCGUUCAGGAAUUUGAUGUGGACCAUUUUUAUUUGUAAAUGUGGUUUUAGUUGGAUAAAGCAACCAGCUACUUCUGGCGCUCUUAGCAAAUUGAGGCAGUUUUACAUGAAGAUGAUGCAUAAUUAUAGGCUUCUUUUACGGUACCUUUUACCACUCCUAAGAAGUAGAGAGGUAUGAUUUGAGGAAGGGUCAGGAUUGACCGAUUUAGAUUAGGCCCGACAGCCUAGUAAGACGUUGAAAAUGAGAAGAAAAAAGAAACAACUAGCAGUAUUUGGCCCGGCCCAAUAAUUGGAUAACAGAGUUUAGGCCUAAGCUCGAUCGUGAGAAACGCGACACCCCGUCUCUGGGUCAGGGGCGACCGCCGCCGGCACCGACACCCGUCUGCGUCGAAGGCGACCGCCGCCUGCAUCGCCGGCGAGAAAAGCCGACACCAGGUCACCCCUGUCCUCCAUCGCGGGCAACUGCCGCCGCCAGCAGAUCGGGCAGUCCUGCGUCGCUGGCGAGCUAUGCCGUCACCAUGUCGACAACGCCACGACAUCAAGGCUGCCACCAGUUCUACGCAGCCACAACAUCCAGAGAUGCCGCCAGUGGCAUUAUCUUCCUCAGAGAUGCGGACAUGCCAGCGCCAGGCCGAAGCUCCAUGGCUGCACCAUCAGCGAAGGUGUCGACAUAGUGGAGUGGUCUGCAGUUCCUGUAACUUUACUGUUUCCAGAGCUACCAAGUUGACAAUCGCGAGCUGCUCCAUAUUGUGGUGAGGCGGCAACAUGCUGCGGGAUGGCUGGCGACGAUCGUCUGGAGGGCAAUAACAAGCUACGGGGAGGCCGGUGACGAGCUGUGUGAGGCCGCCGACAUGCUGCGGGGAGGCUGCCAACGAUCUGCUGGAGGUGGCAACAACAUGCUGGAGGCUGGCCAGGAGCUUCUGUAGUCAAGAGUGAGCUGGCUUCAUGUCUUGCUCUGUUUUGACCCGUGAGGGCUAGCGCAGCUGACGUGCAACGUAUUACAUGGUGGCAAAGUAUUGAACAAAAUGUUGCAUGCAAUCCUAUGUAACAACAAUGGCUAGUUCUGAAACUUCACCUAUAUGAUGGCUGUAUUAAAUAUGCGGACACAUGAAGAUAAACCAUUUUUCUAA